CUACGGAGGGGGUUAGCGUUGUUCGGAAUUACUGGGCGUAAAGCGCACGUAGGCGGACUGGAAAGUUGGGGGUGAAAUCCCGGGGCUCAACCCCGGAACUGCCUCCAAAACUUCCAAUCUAGAGAUCGAGAGAGGUGAGUGGAAUUCCAAGUGUAGAGGUGAAAUUCGUAGAUAUUUGGAGGAACACCAGUGGUGAAGGCGGCUCACUGGCUCGAUACUGACGCUGAGGUGCGAAAGCGUGGGGAGCAAACAGGAUUAGAUACCCCAGUAGUCC
rnacentral:rRNA from 1 species